GGCGAGUGAAGCGGUAACAGCUCAAAUUUGAAAGCUAGCUCUUUUAGGGUUCGCAUUGUAAUUUGUAGAAGAUGCUUCGGGUGUGGCCCCGGUCUAAGUUCCUUGGAACAGGACGUCAUAGAGGGUGAGAAUCCCGUAUGUGACUGGGUGCUUUCGCUCAUGUGAAGCUCUUUCGACGAGUCGAGUUGUUUGGGAAUGCAGCUCAAAAUGGGUGGUAAAUUUCAUCUAAAGCUAAAUAUUGGCCAGAGACCGAUAGCGCACAAGUAGAGUGAUCGAAAGAUGAAAAGCACUUUGGAAAGAGAGUUAAACAGUACGUGAAAUUGUUGAAAGGGAAGCGCUUGCAACCAGACUUGCGCGCUGAUGAUCAUCCGGGCUUCUGUCCGGUGCACUCGUCUGCGCUCAGGCCAGCAUCGGUUUCGGUGGUGGGAUAAAGGCCUUGGGAAUGUAGCUUCUUUCGGGGAGUGUUAUAGCCCUCGGUGCAAUGCCGCCUACCGGGACCGAGGACCGCGCUUCGGCUAGGAUGCUGGCGUAAUGGUUGUAAGCGACCCGUCUUGAAACACGGACCAAGGAGUCUAACAUCUAUGCGAGUGUUUGGGUGUCAAACCCAUACGCGUAAUGAAAGUGAACGGAGGUGAGAACCCUUAAGGGUGCAUCAUCGACCGAUCCUGAUGUCUUCGGAUGGAUUUGAGUAAGAGCAUAGCUGUUGGGACCCGAAAGAUGGUGAACUAUGCGUGAAUAGGGUGAAGCCAGAGGAAACUCUGGUGGAGGCUCGCAGCGGUUCUGACGUGCAAAUCGAUCGUCAAAUUUGCGUAUAGGGGCGAAAGACUAA
rnacentral:rRNA from 1 species